UACGGAGGAUCCGAGCGUUAUCCGGAUUUAUUGGGUUUAAAGGGUGCGCAGGCGGGAGAUUAAGUCGGCGGUGAAAUUUUGCAGCUCAACUGUAAAAGUGCCUUCGAAACCGGUUUCCUUGAGUGUAGAUGAAGUAGGCGGAAUUUGUGGUGUAGCGGUGAAAUGCUUAGAUAUCACGAGGAACUCCGAUUGCGCAGGCAGCUUACUAAACUACUACUGACGCUCAGGCACGAAGGCGUGGGGAUCAAACAGGAUUAGAUACCCUGGUAGUCCCU
rnacentral:rRNA from 1 species